rnacentral:rRNA from 1 species
AUGCAUACCCAUGACACAGAAGAUCUGCCUCUUGGCUUAUGUCGAUAUAUUGAUUCCUCCACGCAACAAUUUGCUUCUCGUAUCGAUGAAUUAGAAGAGAUGUCAACCGACAACCGUAUCAGGAAACAACGAUUAGUGGAUAUUGGUACUAUCACUGCACAGCAAGCAAAGGAUUGGGGAUUCAGUGGUGUAAUGUUAAGAGGUCGUGCGACAUGA